rnacentral:rRNA from 1 species
ACCUUUUUAAUUUUCAAUCAGCGUCUGAAAAACUUAAUAAUUACAACUUUCAACAACGGAUCUCUUGGUUCUGGCAUCGAUGAAGAACGCAGCGAAAUGCGAUAAGUAGUGUGAAUUGCAGAAUUCAGUGAAUCAUCGAAUCUUUGAACGCACAUUGC